CCGUCCGCCAUGGGAGACGGCGUGUCCGCUCCGGCGGAUGGCGGUUACGCUGACGACGUGCGCCUCCCCCCGAGGCGCAAAGCCGACAGCCGUCGCAUCCCAGGGAGUACUCCAUG
rnacentral:sRNA from 22 species